AUAUUUUGCAGUGUACCUGGAUGAACAAUGUCCUUGCUGUGGAUUUCAAACCAGCAAUGAAAACAAAUCAAAUCUUCUACAAUGCAGAAAUUGUGGAAGAUACUUCCACAAAAAGAACCAUUGUGUUGGAAUGAUGGCUUUGACAAAAGAAAGGACAUUCUUAUGUCACGAGUGUAAAAGUGGUGACAGGAAGAUUUGAAUAUUGGUGGAUUUUACUGUAUUAAUGCUUCCAUUAAAAUGUGAAAGCUGUGAGGCAAUCCAUUAAAACUAAAGACAAUUUAGUAAUUAUUAAUACAUGUAAUAGAAUAUGUAUAUUGUUGAUAAAUUGAUUUAAAUUGAUAAACAAAAAUAAGUAUUUUGAGCUUAUGCUUAUCUUCAAAAUGUCAAGGGUUAUACACUUCUCAAUGUGCUGUUAGCGAUCAAUCAUUGGCUGAUAAUUUGAGAUGAUUAUGUAAAGUAGGGCGUUACAAAAACAAGUGUUGUGACUAUUGCCCAAAACUUCUUGACUGAGUACAUCAGGGCCUAGCACUUAAUUUUAUCAUAAUAAUAAGUAACAAAUUUUGGAUGUAGAUGUCACAUCAUACUUAACAUUGUAAGUGCUUACAUCACAAUGUAUAAUAAAAUUAUAUCAUGGCUAAUAUU